rnacentral:rRNA from 1 species
AAUGAACGUUGGCGGCGUGGAUUAGGCAUGCAAGUCGAGCGAGAAACCUUCUUCGGGAGGUGGAAAGCGGCGAAAGGGAGAGUAACGCGUGGAUACCUGCCCUCGGGUUCGGGAUAGCUGCUGGAAACGGCAGGUAAUACUGAAUGAUAUCUCCGGAUCAAAGGUGUGACUCCGCCCGGGGAUGGGUCCGCGUCCUAUUAGCUAGUUGGUGAGGUAACGGCUCACCAAGGCAACGAUGGGUAGUGGGUGUGAGAGCACGACCCACCUCACUGGGACUGGGACACUGCCCAGACACCUACGGGUGGCUGCAGUCGAGGAUCUUCGGCAAUGGGCGCAAGCCUGACCGAGCGACGCCGCGUGCGGGAUGAAGGCCUUCGGGUUGUAAACCGCUUUCGGAGGGGAUGAAAUGCGUGGGGGUUCUCCCCCACGUUUGACAUAGCCUCUAAAGAAGUACGGGCUAAGUUCGUGCCAGCCGCCGCGGUAAUAC